rnacentral:rRNA from 1 species
GCCGCGGUAAUACGGAGGAUGCGAGCGUUAUCCGGAUUUAUUGGGUUUAAAGGGUGCGCAGGCGGAGGUGCAAGUCAGCGGUCAAAUUGCGGGGCUCAACCCCGUACUGCCGUUGAAACUGCAUCCCUUGAGUGCGCGAGAAGUAUGCGGAAUGCGUGGUGUAGCGGUGAAAUGCAUAGAUAUCACGCAGAACUCCGAUUGCGAAGGCAGCAUACCGGCGCGCAACUGACGCUCAUGCACGAAAGCGUGGGUAUCGAACAGGAUUAGAUACCCUGGUAGUCCACGCAGUAAACGAUGAAUGCUACCUGUUUGGCCUGAUUGAAGGCUGAGCGGGACAGCGAAAGCGUUAAGCAUUCCACCUGGGGAGUACGCCGGCAACGGUGAAACUCAAAGGAAUUGACGGGGGCCCGCACAAGCGGAGGAACAUGUGGUUUAAUUCGAUGAUACGCGAGGAACCUUACCCGGGCUCAAACGCAUAAUGACGACAGUUGAAAGAUUGUUUCCCUUCGGGGCAUUAUGCGAGGUGCUGCAUGGUUGUCGUCAGCUCGUGCCGUGAGGUGUCGGCUUAAGUGCCAUAACGAAGCGCAACCCCUAUCGACAGUUGCUAACGAGUAAAGUCGAGGACUCUGUCGAGACUGCCGGCGCAAGCUGUGAGGAAGGCGGGGAUGACGUCAAAUCAGCACGGCCCUUACGUCCGGGGCGACACACGUGUUACAAUGGCAGGGACAGCGGGAAGCCACCAAGCGAUUGGGCGCGGAACCCGAAACCCUGUCUCAGUUCGGAUUGGAGUCUGCAACUCGACUCCAUGAAGCUGGAUUCGCUAGUAAUCGCGCAUCAGCCAUGGCGCGGUGAAUACGUUCCCGGGCCUUGUACACACCGCCCGU